rnacentral:lncRNA from 1 species
UAGAAACUGCCUCUGGAUUCCUGUCAAAGAACAGCUCUGGUUGGGUGCUUGGGCUCCGGGCUGAAUCACAAAUACCCAAGAACCCCAUGCUGCAGCCUGGCUGACUUCACGCAGCUCUGGCAUGUGGGACACACCAUCAGAGUCGCCUGGGCCCCAACUAACCAGCCCUGGAGCUAAAUAACCACCAUAGACCUUAUUCCCAGAGGUCUGGGUGAGCCCUGGCACCACAGAAGACCCCUGACCUCCACCUCGGGCCAGGUGAGGCUUGUUGGGUGGGUCUUGUCCAAAAAUAGGGAGUAGCUCAGAUUCUUUCAGAGCCAAAGUAACAAAUGACAAGAGAGGUGCCAAGAAUGUAAAAAUCCAGUGACUACCGUGGACAUAAAACUGCUCAGCUUCA